UCCUCACCUGCUCUUUUCACUGAAACUAUACUUUAUGAAAAGGAAUUCAUUGAAUCUACCUAACACAAUAUGGAAGGGGUAAGCAUCUCAGCUGACAUCUUAUUGAAUAUAUGGAAUCGCUACUUUCCUGUUCGUCAAGCAUUAACCUAGCAGUAGGGCCUGUUUGAAGUGAAUGAAGUCAACCUUUCAUAGUGAAGAAGUCAACCAUGACUUGAUUUCUGAAUGAACGUUAGUUAGCACCCCGCUCUGUGGGUCAAUAAGCAUUAGCGCCCCUUAAAAACCAGAAAGAAAGAAUUCCAUUUAGCUAGCUUCAUAUAGAACUGAGUUCAGAAAACACCUAUUACUUACUGCUGGCUCUGCUCAUCCCUUGAAUAGAGUAAUAACACCUAUACAAUACUGCUGGCUCUAAAUCAUUGAAUUGAACUGACUUCAUAUAGAAUCUAGUAUACUCACUGCUUUGCUUGCGGACUCCUGACUCACUGUUGACUUAGACGGCUUCCCUUUGACAAUGUAUGAUCUAUGAACUUCCAGAAAUGAAUCGCAACCCUGAUGAGCUUUCUUUCAUAUUUGUUGCAUAUCUUAACCCCGCUGCUCCCGUAAGCGCGCAAUAAACAGGACUUGCUCUUGCCUUCAACUCUCAAUCAGGGUCGAGCAAACAAACCUUGUGAGUUCUGUUGCCGCAAAGGGGAAGUCUAGUGAACCUUAAGAAUGCUUUGGAAGCCGGUAUAGUGAACCUUAAGAAUGCUUUGGAAGCCGGUAAGAUUAAUAAGAAAGGGAAGAGCUGUGUAUUUACUCCGUUCUAUCCAAGGACCGUGUACUCCAUAAUGAUAAUCCAUUCAUGGUUGACUCCGCGCUCUCCACAGAAUCCAUUAUUUCUGAAGCUACUGUUAUCGGUGCUAACUCUCCCCGGGGUGCCCAUCCAUAAAUGGUUGACUUUCCAGGGUGUCCCUAUUUAGCUUACUUUCGGGGAACAAGUCACACUUACUUUACUUGUGCUAACAUGUGUUCUUUGAAUGGAAGAAAUCCCUCUCGCAUAUUAUUGAAUAAGAGAAUUGAGGCUCAAGCAUAAGCCGGAGAAGAAUCAUAAUAAGGAAAGUGUUAUACAGAAAAGGAAGCAGUGCUUGUAAAGUAAACGAGAGAAGAAGUAGUGUCAUCCGUAUAAGGAGCAGGUGAGGAAGUUAGAGUUAAUGAUGGUGCUCCUACUCGGGCAGUUCCACUGUUCUUGUUCUAGGAUCAGAAGUAGGAGAAGUCAAGUCGACAAAAGAUGGAGCUGGAUCUGAAGCAGUGCUAGGAAAGUCGAAGUCAAGUUCUGAGAAAGAAGGAAGUACUGGUGUGGUGGGCGCUAAGCAAGACUCUUACUCGUUAUUGUGAAACAGGUGCUUUCGGGUUGGAUUGGAGUAUAGAGUAGUGCUAGAGCAGCUCUUUUAGUAAGUUGUAACGCAAAGCAAGGAAUAGACUAAUAGAAAUACGUGAUAUAAUGAGUUCUGACAAGUCAAGUCUUUGCCUGCUCUUUAAGUAAGUUGUAAGAAGAAAGUACACUUAGUUACUUCCAAAACAGCUAAACUCAAAAUCCAAACCAAUGAAGAAAGGACUAGUAGU
rnacentral:lncRNA from 1 species